rnacentral:rRNA from 1 species
AGCGAACGCUGGCGGCAGGCCUAACACAUGCAAGUCGAACGGAUCCUUCGGGAUUAGUGGCGGACGGGUGAGUAACCCGUUGGAACGUGCCCUUUGGUUCGGAACAACUCAGGGAAACUUGAUCUAAUACCGGCUGUGCCCUUCGGGGGAAAGAUUUAUCGCCAUUGGAGCGGCCCGCGUCUGAUUAGCUAGUUGGUGAGGUAACGGCCCACCAAGGCGACGAUCAGUAGCUGGUCUGAGAGGAUGAUCAGCCACACUGGGACUGAGACACGGCCCAGACUACUACGGGAGGCAGCAGUGGGGAAUCUUGCGCAAUGGGCGAAAGCCUGACGCAGCCAUGCCGGGUGAAUGAUGAAGGUCUGAGGAUUGUAAAAUUCUUUCAGCGGGGACGAUAAUGACGGUACCCGCAGAAGAAGCUCCGGCUAACUUCGUG